rnacentral:rRNA from 1 species
UUCCGGUUGAUCCCGCCGGACCUGACUGCUAUCGGAUUGAUACUAAGCCAUGCGAGUCUUUGCAGUAAUGCAAGGCACACGGCUCAGUAACACGUAGUCAACUUACCCUAUGGACGAGGAUAAUCUCGGGAAACUGAGCAUAAUACUCGAUAGAUCAUAAUGCCUGGAAUGGUUUAUGGUUGAAAUGAUUCGUCGCCAUAGGAUGGGACUGCGGCCUAUCAGCUUGUUGGUGAGGUAAUGGCCCACCAAGGCGAUUACAGGUACGGGCUCUGAGAGGAGAAGCCCGGAGAUGGGUACUGAGACAAGGACCCAGGCCCUAUGGGGCGCAGCAGGCGAGAAAACUUUGCAAUGUGCGAAAGCACGACAAGGUUAAUCCGAGUGAUUUCUGCUAAAGAAAUCUUUUGCAAGUCAUAAAACCACUAGUGAAUAAGGGGUGGGCAAGUUCUGGUGUCAGCCGCCGCGGUAAAACCAGCACCUCAAGUGGUCAGGAGGAUUAUUGGGCCUAAAGCAUCCGUAGCCGGCUCUGUAAGUUUUCGGUUAAAUCCAUGUGCUCAACAUAUGGGCUGCCGAAAAUACUGCAUAGCUAGGGAGUGGGAGAGGUAGACGGUACUCGGUAGGAAGGGGUAAAAUCCUUUGAUCUAUCGAUGACCACCUGUGGCGAAGGCGG